rnacentral:tRNA from 1 species
UUGGUAGAAACCAAAAAGAGGUGUGUCACUGUUAAUGACAUAAUUGAAAUCAUUUCCUAUCAAU